UACAGAGGGUGCAAGCGUUAAUCGGAAUUACUGGGCGUAAAGCGCGCGUAGGUGGUUUGUUAAGUUGAAUGUGAAAUCCCCGGACUCAACCUGGGAACUGCAUGCAAAACUGGCAAGCUAGAGUAUGGUAGAGGGUGGUGGAAUUUCCUGUGUAGCGGUGAAAUGCGUAGAUAUAGGAAGGAACACCAGUGGCGAAGGCGACCACCUGGACUGAUACUGACACUGAGAGACGAAAGCUAGGGGAGCGAAUGGG
rnacentral:rRNA from 1 species